rnacentral:rRNA from 1 species
GACGAACGCUGGCGGCGUGCCUAAUACAUGCAAGUUGAGCGCUGAAGGUUGGUACUUGUACCAACUGGAUGAGCAGCGAACGGGUGAGUAACGCGUGGGGAAUCUGCCUUUGAGCGGGGGACAACAUUUGGAAACGAAUGCUAAUACCGCAUAAAAACUUUAAACACAAGUUUUAAGUUUGAAAGAUGCAAUUGCAUCACUCAAAGAUGAUCCCGCGUUGUAUUAGCUAGUUGGUGAGGUAAAGACUCACCAAGGCGAUGAUACAUAGCCGACCUGAGAGGGUGAUCGGCCACAUUGGGACUGAGACACGGCCCAAACUCCUACGGGAGGCAGCAGUAGGGAAUCUUCGGCAAUGGACGAAAGUCUGACCGAGCAACGCCGCGUGAGUGAAGAAGGUUUUCGGAUCGUAAAACUCUGUUGGUAGAGAAGAACGUUGGUGAGAGUGGAAAGCUCAUCAAGUGACGGUAACUACCCAGAAAGGGACGGCUAACUACGUG